GAGAAGAUUUAUUUGAAGGAAGCGUGGAGGCAGUGGAAAGGGCAGUGAGUCAGGGCCCAUGGAACAUCCCAAGUGUAGAUGCCCACUGCAGCAGGUACUCAAAGUCAGAGCUUAGAAGUAGUAUCUAGCAUGGAGACAAACUGAGUCCUGGAAGAAACACACAGAUUGAGCUACAUUAGUGCACAGAUUAUAGUGCAAACCAAAAAAAAAAAAAAAAAAAAAAAAAAAAAAAAAAAAAAAAAAGAAUGCAAGGCUGAGUAGCAGCUUCAUGAUGGGAGAAUGGACAUUUUAGAGACAGGAAGGAGAGGGCUUUGCCUUAUGUGUAGGAGGGGAAGUGAAGAGAAAACAAGGGGUUUGCUGUUGUGUAAGUCAUAGGAAGACUGCAUUUUAAAAGAGUGGCUGGGAACGCCCUUGGAUUGAAUAACUAGUAGGACAUUGGCAGCUGUGGGAUAUGACUAUCCCAUUGAGUGUGCUGGGAGUGAGAAGUUUGCAGCUUGAUGAUGCUGAUAUGGGGAGUAUAGAUGCAGAGACACCUUUCACAGGUGUCUCUUAAAGAACGUGGUGUGAUGGGGAGUGUUACGUGCAUGAAAUUGGAAGAGGGACUGGCCAUGUCGGUCCCCCUAGUUCUAUAUUCAUCUGCUUUGGAUGAUUUUAAUCGUAAAUGGUUAUGUGCCAAUGUUGAUUGAUUCCUCAUAAUCUUAGAUGUGAUUUUUCCAUAAGUCUUAUGAACCUCUUGAUGCUCUACCCAAUGUCUUCAGUAAUCAAACAAGUAUUUACGUACUUAUGCGCGAGUAUGUGUGCAUGGGCAUGUGCACAUGAGUGCAGGUGCCCACAGAGUUCAGAAGAGUGUGUUAGAGUUCCUAGAGUUGGAGUGAUGAGCAGUUGUGAGCCUCUUGAUAUAGGUGUUAGGAAUCAAACCAAGGUCCCCUGAAAGAAAACCAAAUGCUCCUAACCACUGAGAAACCUCUUCAGUCUCAGGAGAAAAAAGUUGAGCAUGCAUCAUAUAGUCAUACAGAGGCUUUCUAGUUAAGUAAAAUUGGCUCAAGGAAAAGAUUUAAGUGGAGGACUUGAAGAUGAGCUCUUCAGUGAGGGCUUUGCUGCAACAGUGUUUGAGAGGGGACAGGACAGACAGUGCUGCUGGCUGACCAAGAUGGUGAUCAGUGGUAGGUGAUAGCUUUCCUGGCUUAAGCUCUCAGGGUUUUUGGGGGGCCAAAUACCAAUCUAGGUUUUGCAGUGGAGGUCUUUUGUGGAUAUGGUUGAAAGUCCCUAAUCAGUUGACUUUAAGUAAGGGAGGUUAUUGCCGUCACUGCUGAUGGGCUUGAGUUAAUUGGCUUACACACCUUAAUGCUAAAAGUGAAGUUUCCAGAAGCCAAAAUGCCACCUAUGGCCAUUAUCUAACCCAUGUCCUAGUGUUUCAGUUGCUCUUCCUUUGAUCUCCUGCUCCAUGGCUUGUUUUGUUAUUUGUCUCACCAGCUCCUCACUGGGCAAGCCAGUUCCUUCCAGUAACUGCCUCCUUAUGUGCCCAAGUGGCUCUGCUUCUCUCCUCUCUGCCACCCAAUAGUGGUGGGCAGCUAGAUGAGCCCUUUCACUUUUGAUCCUUGGUGACCUCCAUUAUAGAUGGAGAUAGGUCACUUAUCUUUUGAUAAUGCCGCUUUUUUGUUUGAGUUGAUUGCUUCCUCAAAUCCAGUGUGUGUGUGUUUGUGUGUGUGUGUGUGUGUGUGUGUGUGUGUGUGUGUGUGAGUGUGUAGAAGGACAAGCCACAAGCCCAGGAGCUCAGUGAUGGGUGGACUUGGUAACACCCAGAACCCACAAAUUUAUGUAUACGAUCUCACUGUAGUUACUUGUGGUGUGUCUCAUGACAGCCAUGGGAGGCACCACAGUUCAGUAAGAUAGGUCUUUGGUCUGAGAAUCAGAGUCAGUCACUUGUCCUGAGAGGCAUUUGAAGGUGGAGAUUGUCCAGUAGUCCUUCUCACUCUUAUCCACCGGCUCUUGUUUCUUGAGCUUACUGUCAGCCUCUGACGUGGUCCUGUUAUCCUUAACCCACGGGUAGAUGCCUGUAUCUCCAGUGGUCAUCACUCCAGUGAAAGGCCCAUGACUUACCAUGCCUGUGCAAAGCAACAGGCUCCCGAGAAGGCUCUUCAUAUAAUGCCCAGUGUCUCUUCCAAAUGGGUUUCUCUUGACUUCAGCUACUUCACCUCUGUCAACCAUUCUCAGUUGCUUAAUGAGUAGCUCAAGGAACUAUGAGCAUGGACCCUUCAGGGGCACAUCUAUGGAGCUGAGGCUCCAGAUCACUCACUGCUGUAUCAGGAUUUCCCCCUACCAAGGAGCCAUUGCCCUAGUCUCAGAUUCAUCACCAGGGAAUUUUCCUCCUUGAUUUUUGUGUCCUUGUCCUUUAGCCUAGUGUUAAAAAAACC
rnacentral:lncRNA from 1 species